rnacentral:rRNA from 1 species
GUUGAUAGGUCAGAGGUGUAAGUGUGGCAACAUAUUUAGCUGACUGAUACUAAUAGGUCGAGGGCUUGACCAAUAA